ACGUGACUGAGCAGCUAACACACACCAGUGCCAAGGAAGCUGAAGGCAGGGUCAGGACCCCGUGCUCGCUCCCUUUGACGAGACAAGUCCAAAGUCCACUCCUCCAGGCCUUGAUUUCCCCAGCUGUGAAGAGGCAAGACAGGAUUACAGGGGCCCUGCCAUGGCACAGAACACGAACAGGAAAUGCUCAUUUCACUCCAUGCCCAACAAAGCCCAGCUCCUUGCCCCCGGAGGGCAUGAGCCGAACGUGGGUCCACUGAUCCUGCGUUUCCUCUGGCUUCAGCCUGACGCCGAUACAAGCAAAGGCAGCCCGUCUGUCCACGGCCAGAUCCGCAGUGCUCAGCCAACCCUUGGCACGUAGCUGGCUCUGAAGAAAUGUCUGUUGAUGAAUGAAUCUUGGCUCCACACACAUCUUUGAUACUCUAGGUUCUGGCAUCCAAAUAAAUGUUUCAUUGAAAAAAAUUCUGCAUUUAUUUGGUGCUAAGGUGGCUCCCAACACAUGGCCAGGGUCACUGCUGUUGCUGUUCACUUCAGAGCCGCCCUGAACCGGCUGCUGCCAAUGACUUUGGUGACCAGGCGAGGGGGUGGUUGCCUUUUAGGGUCCAGGGUAAUCAUCUUUGCAACAUCCUCAGCUUGUGGGUAUAUGAGAAUGCAUUUCAAUCUUACUAGCUGACGUCUGUGCUUGAACUUAAAUUUCUAUUAAUAGAAACACUGCGGUUUUUACAUUUACUCAUCAUUCAACAUAUAUCCCAGGGAUGGGGGAGCCUGGUGGGCUGCCCUCUAUGGGGUAGCACAGAGUCAGACACGACUGAAGUGACUUAGCAGCAGCAGCAACAUAUAUUGACUAAGCACAUGCUCUGGGCUCAUGUGGGGUGAGACCAUGGGAUCCAGAUGUGGCCAUGAGAAAUCUGGCCACUCUGGGUCCCGGGGGCCACCGUCAGUGGAACUAGCACACGAUUAAUUACAGGGUCCAUGAAUGCUCUGAGGAGAAGUGUAGGGGGCUACAGGGACAGGGCUGUCUUGAUCUGGAGGCUGGGAAAGCUACCCAGAGAGGAAGCUGGGAAGCCAACUCUGAAGAGUGAGUAGGCGUCAGCAAGUGAAAAGGAAGGGGACAUUUUCCAGACAGAACAACCUGGGCAAAGGCCAGAUGGCCAGAGAGGCCAUUAAACCCUGAGUGCUCACUGCAGCCGAGUUCCCGGGGAGGCUGGACCAGAGUACACAGAGGCCAUCUGGGGGCCAGCAAAAGGGAGGCAUGGCAGGUCAAGCAGAACAAGCAGGAGGCCAGAGGUGACUUUGAGAGGUCCCUCGCUGCUGCUGGAAGUCAGUAAGCUAGGAUUUCACAAACCCGAAGUCUGGAGCCAAUCUCGCUGAUAUGGCCAGGGAGGCAGGUUUUUUUAUUGCUCUCUGUCAUCUCCUCCUGCUUGUCCAGACCACUGGCUCUCAGAGGCAGCAGCCGGUCGGUGUCUAACUCAUUUCUGAGGGCCCAGCAGCCAUCACAGGGCCAGACAUACGGCAGGAGGUAAACAGAAGCCUCCUGAGUGAGGGCGCACACCGACCUGGCGC